rnacentral:rRNA from 1 species
GACGAACGCUGGCGGCGUGCCUAAUACAUGCAAGUCGAGCGCAGGAAACUGACGGAACUCUUCGGAGGGAAGGCAGUGGAAUGAGCGGCGGACGGGUGAGUAACACGUAAGGAACCUGCCUCAAGGAUUGGGAUAACUCCGAGAAAUCGGAGCUAAUACCGGAUAGUUCAACGGACCGCAUGGUCCGCUGAUGAAAGGCGCUCCGGCGUCACCUUGAGAUGGCCUUGCGGUGCAUUAGCUAGUUGGUGGGGUAACGGCCCACCAAGGCGACGAUGCAUAGCCGACCUGAGAGGGUGAUCGGCCACACUGGGACUGAGACACGGCCCAGACUCCUACGGGAGGCAGCAGUAGGGAAUCUUCCACAAUGGACGAAAGUCUGAUGGAGCAACGCCGCGUGAGUGAUGAAGGUUUUCGGAUCGUAAAACUCUGUUGUAAGGGAAGAACACGUACGAGAGGGAAUGCUCGUACCUUGACGGUACCUUACGAGAAAGCCACGGCUAACUACGUGCCAGCAGCCGCGGUAA